rnacentral:Y_RNA from 1 species
GGCUGCUCUGAGUGCAGUGGUGUUUACAACUAAUUGAUCGCAACCAGUUACAAAUUUCUUUGUUCCUCCUCCACUCCCACUGCUUCACUUGACUAACCUUAA